UACGUAGGGGGCAAGCGUUAUCCGGAUUUACUGGGUGUAAAGGGAGCGUAGGUGGAUUGGUAAGUCAGAAGUGAAAGCCCAGGGCUCAACCCUGGGACUGCUUUUGAAACUAUCAAACUAGAGUGCAGGAGAGGUAAGUGGAAUUCCUAGUGUAGCGGUGAAAUGCGUAGAUAUUAGGAGGAACACCAGUGGCGAAGGCGACUUACUGGACUGUAACUGACACUGAGGCUCGAAAGCGUGGGGAGCAAACAGG
rnacentral:rRNA from 1 species